UAGAAUUUGAAACCCUAUGUUUACAAGCAGACAAAGCACGUUAAGGUGCGAUGUCGUACUUUUUGUAGAACGGUCCAGCGAGUUAUUGUAUAUGGCAAGGUUAAAUACUAAGUAAGGUAUGGAGCCGAAGCGAAAGCGAGUGUUAAUAGCGCGUUUAAGUCAUAUGUAAUAGACCCGAAACCGAGUGACCUAUCCAUGGUCAGGAUGAAGCUAGAGUAAAAUCUAGUGGAGGUCCGAACUGAUUGUCGUUAAAAAGGCACCGGAUGACUUGUGGAUAGCGGAGAAAUUCCAAUCGAACUCGGAGAUAGCUGGUUCUCCUCGAAAUAGCUUUAGGGCUAGCCUUGAGGGAAUGCAUAUGGGGGUAGAGCACUGAAUGAGGUAGGGGCCUAACCAGGUUACCAAACUCUAUCAAACUCCGAAUACCAUAUGUAAAUACUCAGGAGUCAGACUGCGGGAGCUAAGUUCCGUGGUCAAAAGGAAAACAGUCCAGAUCGUCAAUUAAGGUCCCAAAGAUAUAGCUAAGUGGAAAACGAUGUGAUUUUGCAUAAACAACCAGGAUGUUGGCUCAGAAGCAGCCAUUCAUUCAAAGAGUGCGUAAUAGCUCACUGGUCGAGUGAAGUUGCGCGGAAAAUUACCGGGGCUAAGCUAUACACCGAAAUUGCGGAUUUACAUUUGAAAGAUAAUGUAAGUGGUAGAGGAGCAUUCUGUAGUAGGAAGAAGCAUGACCGUAAGGACAUGUGGACGAAGCAGAAGAGAGAAUGCUGGAAUAAGUAGCGAGAGGAUGGUGAGAAUCCAUCCCGUCGAAAAUCUAAGGUUUCCCAGGGAAGGUUCGUCCGCCUGGGGUAAGUCGGGACCUAAGGAGAGGCCGAAAGGCGUAUCUGAUGGAUAGCAGGUUGAAAUUCCUGCACUACGAAUAUACUUAAAAGAUUCAAGGGACGCAGAAGUGGAAGAUAACCAAGUAAGAGGAAAAGCUUGGCUCGCAAGAGGGAGUGAAAAUUAAAAGUAACGAAGUAUCAAGAAGCACGCUGACGAGAAAAGCUUGAAGAUAUUGUAUAUAAGUACCCGUACCGCAAACCGACACAGGUAGAUGAGGAGAGGAUCCUAAGACGAGCGGGAGAAGCAUUGUUAAGGAACUCGGCAAAUUAACCCCGUAACUUCGGAAUAAGGGGUGCUGAUGUAACAGUCAGUCGCAGAGAAAAGGCCCAAGCAACUGUUUAACAAAAACAUAGGUUUCUGCUAAAUCGAAAGAUGAAGUAUAGGAGCUGACGCCUGCCCAGUGCUGGAAGGUUAAGGGAAAGAGUUAGGGUUAAACCGAAGCUUAGAACUGAAGCCCCAGUGAACGGCGGCCGUAACUAUAACGGUCCUAAGGUAGCGAAAUUCCUUGUCAGGUAAGUUCUGACCCGCACGAAAGGCGUAAUGAUUUGGGCGCUGUCUCGACAAUGUCCCCGGCGAAAUUGUAGUACUAGUGAAGAUGCUAGUUACCUGCGAUAAGACAGAAAGACCCCAUGGAGCUUUACUGCAGUUUGAUACUGGGUUUCGAUGAUUUAUGUACAGGAUAGUUGGGAGACUAUGAAAGAGAGGCGUCAGCUUCUCCGGAGUCGUUGUUGGGAUACCAACCUUAAGUUAUUGAAAUUCUAACUUGUAAUCGUAAACCGGUUAGAGGACAAUGUCAGACGGGCAGUUUGACUGGGGCGGUCGCCUCCUAAAGAGUAACGGAGGCGCCCAAAGGUUUCCUCAGCGCGGACAGAAAUCGCGCGAAAGAGUGUAAAGGCAGAAGGAAGCUUAACUGAGAGACAGACAUGUCGACCAGAUACGAAAGUAGGGCUUAGUGAUCCGGUGGUUGUAAAUGGAAAUGCCAUCGCUCAACGGACAAAAGUUACCCUGGGGAUAACAGGCUUAUCUCCCCCAAGAGUUCACAUCGACGGGGAGGUUUGGCACCUCGAUGUCGGCUCAUCGCAUCCUGGAGCGGAAGUACGUUCCAAGGGUUGGGCUGUUCGCCCAUUAAAGCGGUACGCGAGCUGGGUUCAGAACGUCGUGAGACAGUUCGGUCCUUAUCUAUCGCAGGCGUAAGAUAUUUGAAGAGUGCUGUCCUUAGUACGAGAGGACCAGGAUGGACAUACCAAUGGUGUAUCAGUUGUCUCACCAGAGGCACGGCUGAGUAGCUAAGUAUGGAUUGGAUAAACGCUGAAAGCAUCUAAGUGUGAAGCCAACUCUAAGAUAAGAUAUCUCAUAUCGU
rnacentral:rRNA from 1 species